CGCCUGUUUAUCAAAAACAUAACCAUAUGUUUUUAAAUAUAUGGCGUUUUCUGCUCAAUGAUUGUUAAAUAGCCGCAGUACUCUGACUGUGCAAAGGUAGCAUAAUCAUUUGGCUUAUAAUUGAAGUCUUGUAUGAAUGAAAACUAUGGCUAGCUACUGUCUCAUAUAAGUUAAUAGAACUUACUUAGUAAGUGAAAAUACUUACUUUUACAUAAAAGACGAGAAGACCCUAGAAAUUUUGAUUAUUUAGGGUAUUUUUCUAACCGUUUUUGUUGGGGCGACAGAACAACAAGAAACUUGUUUUAUAAAAUAUAAAUUUUUUUAAAAGAAAACUAUAAAUUACUCUAGGGAUAACAGCAUAAUUUAUUAAAGUUUGUGACCUCGAUGUUGGAUUAGGGUGUAUACUACUUAAAAGGAAGUAUACCUUGUUCUGUUCGAACGGAAAACCCUACGUGAUCUGAGUUCAGACCGG
rnacentral:rRNA from 1 species